GGCGCUAGGCCAAGGAAUUCUUGUUGAUUCGCCCGUACACUAUCGUUCUGUGCCGAGUUGCCGGGUUGGAAAGUACUGGGGAUUACCCGAAGGUCGGCGAAGCCGACCAAUCGGCGUAGCCGAUUGUGAGCGCGGCGAAGCCGCGCAGCGAGCGAAGCGAGCUAGGUGGGAAAGGCCUUUUCUACUAUCGCCGUUUUCUGCAAAAUUAUAAUAUGUAAGUCAAAAUUUCGAAGUGAUUUAUGUUCGUCGAGUUAUUUGGAGGCCAUUCAACGUACAAAGUGCACAUAAUAGUUAUUUGAAAUUAAAAUAAACGCCACUGAAAUUUGGCCGAUUUCCGGGACACUGCGUUACCAGCACAAAUAACUCGUAAAAAAA